CAACAGCACAGCUGCUCAAGUUGAAAGGAGAUUAAGGAGCUGAGAAAUUGCCUCUUUCCCCUUCCCAAAGAGGCUCUGCUAGGCACAGUUGUAAGCAAACGGCAAAGGAAAGGCAGAUGAAUCCACUCCACAGCUUGAUUUGAUUACUUGAAGAUAAAUUCAUAUUUCACUUCUUUAACUUUCUGCUUCAAGAAAGAAGAAUCCCAUCUGCUAGAAAGAAAUAUUUGUAGCCAACAUGACAAAAGUGGAAUCCCUACUUCAUAACAGCUGUGAAUCAAAACACGAGUGACUGAAAUUAACUACAUUGUGUUGCCGAGCAGAUGUGCUUCCAGAAACGAACUCCAGCUCUUUUGUUCCCAGGCACCAUGUGUAAAUCAUCCACAGACAACACGAGUUCUCCAGACAAAUUCAGUUCCAUGGAGCCAACUGUUGCCAUCCCCCAGGUGCAGUAGCAACAUACACACAGGUCACAAGAGUCAAGCACUGCACAAGUUCUUGGGGAUUUGGAGCCAAAUUGGAUGGUUGACCAGCCCUAAUGGUUGGCAGAGACUUUUAUCUGCUCCUCUGAGAUCACUGUUCACACGUUCUCACAGUAUAUCUGUCUGCUGCAAUUAGGGUGCUGCAAAGCUGUUGUUGAUAAAGUGACAUUUGCUCUAAGCAUUGUCACUUUGAAGAAUACCCACGAAGGAAAAUGAAAAUCGAUGUAAUUACAAGUCAUCAACUGCAAAUUUCAUUCACUUACUUGCUUCAAAACUGCCAAAUGAAAAUAAUUUCAGUUUACCUUAAUAACAAUAUAUGGAUAGUCAGUUUUUUUGAAAAGCUUAUUUUCAAUCUGCAUUUCUAAUAUUAAAAAGAGGAAAAGCACUCAGUCCAAUUUUCUCUAGUUAGAGAAUCCUAACUUUUCACAAAACACUUGCAAUUAAGUGGUUGCCUAAUAAUUUACUACAAUAAGUAUUGAAAUGUGUGUUUUAAGCCAAAUGCUUUUUUAACUUUUGACUACUGUCUUACCUGAAUAGUUAUAUUUUUAAAUUCUAAUAACUUUUGUGAAGAAGGUGGCACCCAAAUAAGGUAUCAUGUAUGAUCAAUGCAGUACAAUGAAUACAUUGAUCACAUGACAUUUAUUAUCUUUCUAAAAUUUUCUGUACUCAUUAUUGUGGGAAAAUAUAUAACAAAAGAAACAACUGAAGGUCAGUUUCCUCCAAACAACUUUGGAAACUCUGAGCAAAUAGAAAGAUAAUUCCAUCUAGCAGACAGUAAGAGUAACUGUUAAUUAAUAAAUGUGGACAAUAUACUCCUCAGCACAAGUCAAAACCUGGUGGCUGCCUCUAAACAAAUUUUGUUUGCCCCCUGAUAAUCUUUUUUCAUUUAUUUUCCAGUGUUAAACAUUUAUGAGAUUGCAUUUCAAUAUUUAAUUUAUAUAUCUUUGAAAAACCUAGGCCACCUGGCAACAUGGGCUGUUAACCCCUACAUCAAUGAUGGGCUAACCUCACUCUGUAAUAUCCUGAGGGGGCUCCUGUGGGCCUCUGAGUUAGCAUCUGUUUUGUGUUCUGUCGUAGUUAAAGGAAAGUCCUCUCAUUACCAGCCUAGAGUCAUCAAUGUAGAUAUCAAAAGGAGGUGGGACAUGGGGUAAACUUUGAAGAAUGGACAGGAAAGAAAAUGGGGAUGAGGGAUUGGGGGUCUCUGAGGUUAUAGUAGUGGUGUAGGCAAAGCUUCAGGAGUGAAGGUGGGGGACAGAUGUAUAAGUCAAGAGCAAUAGUAAAUGGAAAGUUCUGACUGGGAGAGAGGUAUAGGAAUGGGGCAUAUUGUGAGAAAGCCCAGAAAGAACUGACUGCAGAGUAACUGAAGAGAGCCUUGAAUGCCAACUCAAGGAGCUUCUGGGACAUUAUCCAAGAAACAGCUCUUAGCUUGUUUGAAAAACUAAUCAACCCACUCCACAUGUAAUUUCACCAUAUUCAUAUGCCCACUUAAGCUUGGGUAACUGCACUAUUACUACUAUGGUAAUCUGGCAGCAGUGGUGCCCAAACUGAAGAGGACUGGCAUCGGAAGCAGAGAGCAAUUGGCAAGGAAGGGGAAAAGCAAAGGAAGCUGUGGAGGGUCAUUAUGUAUACAAGCACCUGAGUCACACCGGCUGGGUUCCAAGACUAAGUACCAAGACUUUCUGCAGGUCUUUUAACAUCUUUGAGCCCGAAUUUUCUCAGCUCUGAGGAGGAAAUAGUACUUGUGUCAGAAAACUAUGCUAAGGAUUUAAUAAAGCAAUACAUGUUAUAUAUGCUUGGAAGAGUUUUAGGCACAAAGUAAGAGCUUAAUAAACAUUAACCAUACCACUAUCAUCAUCAUCAU